rnacentral:rRNA from 1 species
GACGAACGCUGGCGGCGCGCUUAACACAUGCAAGUCGAGCGAGAACCGGGCCUUCGGGCCUGGGGACAGCGGCGAACGGGUGAGUAACACGUGGGUAACCUGCCCUCGACACCGGGAUAGCUCGGGGAAACCCGGAUUAAUACCGGACAGCCUCCGGAGCCUUCGGGCGCCGGAGCAAAGGUGGCUUCGGCUUCCGGUGGAGGAUGGGCCUGCGGCGGAUUAGCUUGGUGGCGGGGUAACGGCCCACCAAGGCGACGAUCCGUAGCUGGUCUGAGAGGACGAUCAGCCACACUGGGACUGAGACACGGCCCAGACUCCUACGGGAGGCAGCAGUGGGGAAUCUUGCGCAAUGGGCGAAAGCCUGACGCAGCGACGCCGCGUGCGGGAAGAAGGCCUUCGGGUUGUAAACCGCUUUCAGGAGGGACGAAGCCACUCGGGUUAAUAGCCCAGAGGGUGACGGUACCUCCAGAAGAAGCCCCGGCUAACUACGUGCCAGCAGCCGCGGUAAAAC